rnacentral:rRNA from 1 species
AGCGAACGCUGGCGGUAGGCCUAACACAUGCAAGUCGAACGGCAGCACAGUAAGAGCUUGCUCUUACGGGUGGCGAGUGGCGGACGGGUGAGGAAUACAUCGGAAUCUACUUUUUCGUGGGGGAUAACGUAGGGAAACUUACGCUAAUACCGCAUACGACCUACGGGUGAAAGCAGGGGAUCUUCGGACCUUGCGCGAUUGAAUGAGCCGAUGUCGGAUUAGCUAGUUGGCGGGGUAAAGGCCCACCAAGGCGACGAUCCGUAGCUGGUCUGAGAGGAUGAUCAGCCACACUGGAACUGAGACACGGUCCAGACUCCUACGGGAGGCAGCAGUGGGGAAUAUUGGACAAUGGGCGCAAGCCUGAUCCAGCCAUACCGCGUGGGUGAAGAAGGCCUUCGGGUUGUAAAGCCCUUUUGUUGGGAAAGAAAAGCGGCAGGUUAAUACCCCGCUGUUCUGACGGUACCCAAAGAAUAAGCACCGGCUAACUUCGUG